rnacentral:rRNA from 1 species
UAACACGUAUCCAACCUGCCGAUAACUCGGGGAUAGCCUUUCGAAAGAAAGAUUAAUACCCGAUAGCAUAGUUUUUCCGCAUGGUUUCACUAUUAAAGAAUUUCGGUUAUCGAUGGGGAUGCGUUCCAUUAGAUAGUUGGCGGGGUAACGGCCCACCAAGUCAACGAUGGAUAGGGGUUCUGAGAGGAAGGUCCCCCACAUUGGGACCGAGACACGGUCCAAACUCCUACGGGAGGCAGCAGUGAGGAAUAUUGGUCAAUGGACGAGAGUCUGAACCAGCCAAGUAGCGUGAAGGAUGACUGCCCUAUGGGUUGCAAACUUCUUUUAUACGGGAAUAAAGUGGAGUAUGCAUACUCCUUUGUAUGUACCGUAUGAAUAAGGAUCGGCUAACUCCGUGCCAGCAGCCGCGGUAAUACGGAGGAUCCGAGCGUUAUCCGGAUUUAUUGGGUUUAAAGGGAGCGUAGGCGGGUGCUUAAGUCAGUUGUGAAAGUUUGCGGCUCAACCGUAAAAUUGCAGUUGAUACUGGGCGCCUUGAGUGCAGCAUAGGUAGGCGGAAUUCGUGGUGUAGCGGUGAAAUGCUUAGAUAUCACGAAGAACUCCGAUUGCGAAGGCAGCUUACUGGACUGUAACUGACGCUGAUGCUCGAAAGUGUGGGUAUCAAACAGGAUUAGAUACCCUGGUAGUCCACACAGUAAACGAUGAAUACUCGCUGU